UACGAAGGGGGCUAGCGUUGCUCGGAAUCACUGGGCGUAAAGGGUGCGUAGGCGGGGCUUUAAGUCAGGGGUGAAAUCCCGGAGCUCAACUCCAGAACUGCCUUUGAUACUGAGGAUCUUGAGUUCGGGAGAGGUGAGUGGAACUGCGAGUGUAGAGGUGAAAUUCGUAGAUAUUCGCAAGAACACCAGUGGCGAAGGCGGCUCACUGGCCCGAUACUGACGCUGAGGCACGAAAGCGUGGGGAGCAAACAGG
rnacentral:rRNA from 1 species